UGACUGAAGUUGAAACAUGUAAGAAUGAAUACGCAAUGUUUUCUAAAUAAAUUCCAGGUUUUGGAGGUCUCCCCUCAUAUGGUGGGUACCAAGAACUGAUGCGCCACUGAGCAAUCCCAACACUUCAGCACAGCCAAGGAGAUAGUGGGCUGUUGCUCUUAGAAAGCCACGAUGUAAGCUAGCACUGCCUGGACUGUGGGUCUCUUGCUAUGUAUGUAACCCACACAGAGACUGUGAUCAUCUGCUCAGCUUUUAUGGCAGCCCCUUAGCUUCACAGCAUCUUUAUCUCUCUUCUGCCUCUGUACUUCUGUUAGGAACACAUAUAUCCAGACGUGGUGGUUAUGGGGUGGUGAUGUCUUCACUCCAUCCACGUUGGUUUUUUCAAGAAACCUUAUUUUAUUUCUUUAUCCUGGCAUUUCAGUGUCUGAAAAUCAGGAAAAACAUAAUAAUAUGUGGGCAUUUGUGAGCUGUGUGCCUGGAUCCAGGAUGAGUGGAGGACAAUGAAGGCAGUGUAUCAUGCAACCGUGGUAAACUCCCAGUGCCCAGAGAACCUGGUCCCCUGGCUUUCUGCCCUGAGACACUAGCUGUACCAUGCCAUCGUCAUGGGGAUUUAUAUGUUGAGGAAACACAUCCCUUCCCUGUCAUAAGUAAGAGGACACCUGAGUGUUAAGUUGCAGCAUCUUCUAACUUCCCAGACUCAUCAGCAGGAUUGUCUCUUGUCUGGGACUUUAGUAUAGAACUUGUUCCUAGAAAAAUGUUCCUAGUUUGCAUGUUCUGGAUAGUACAUUAUCAGAUGGGUGGCCAGAAAGAUGGAAGCAAAAAAUUUUUAUGUGCUGCAUUUUGAUUAGUUUCUAGGGAGCUGUAUCACCCUUCAGGUAGUCAUCACCAAAGAAACUGGUAUCAUUCUGCUCUGCUCAUCUCAUCUGCUACUUUCAUCCAGUCACUUUUCUGUUCAGUGUCUUCAAGUAUCUCCAGCUCACAGCCAGACCUGCAUGCUUUCAGAGUGGGAAGGAUGACAUUGGCAGUCUACAGGGGCCCUGACCAAUUUGCAAAAGAACCCCUGUGUGCCAGGCUGUCAACUGACCUUAAAUCCGUAUUUCUCUA